rnacentral:rRNA from 1 species
CCUAACACAUGCAAGUCGAGGGGUAACAGAGAAGCUUGCUUCUGCUGACGACCGGCGCACGGGUGCGUAACGCGUAUGCAACCUACCUCAUACUGGAGCAUAGCCCUUGGAAACGAGGAUUAAUACUCCAUGGUAUCAUUUUUUCGCAUGUUAGAAUGAUUAAAGAAUUUCGGUAUGAGAUGGGCAUGCGUCCCAUUAGCUAGUUGGUGAGGUAACGGCUCACCAAGGCGACGAUGGGUAGGGGGCCUGAGAGGGUGGUCCCCCACACUGGUACUGAGACACGGACCAGACUCCUACGGGAGGCAGCAGUGAGGAAUAUUGGUCAAUGGAGGCAACUCUGAACCAGCCAUGCCGCGUGAAGGAUGACGGCCCUAUGGGUUGUAAACUUCUUUUAUAUGGGAAGAAACUUAUCUACGUGUAGAUAACUGACGGUACCAUACGAAUAAGGAUCGGCUAACUCCGUGCCAGCAGCCGCGGUAAUACGGAGGAUCCAAGCGUUAUCCGGAUUCAUUGGGUUUAAAGGGUCCGUAGGCGGAUUUUUAAGUCAGUGGUGAAAGCCGGCAGCUCAACUGUCGAACUGCCAUUGAUACUGGAAAUCUUGAGUACAAAUGAAGUAGGCGGAAUGAGUCAUGUAGCGGUGAAAUGCAUAGAUAUGACUCAGAAC